UGCCUAAACCUGGGAGGUUAUCUCCAGGCAUGGCGUAAAAACCCGUCUAAGGCGGAGAGCUCGUCGUCAGAGCACCUUAGACGGGUCACGUCGGGAAACCGGCGUGGGUGGUCACAAGGCCAUC
rnacentral:sRNA from 1 species